CGAAAGUCGGCGAGCAGUCAAGGUAGUAGACGGAAAGCAAAGGAAAGACCGGGUGAUAUUAUAAUUUAAAAAGAAGUCACGAGAUUUUCCGCGCUCAAAGUUAACAAAUUUAACAAUGCUUAAAGCUGGUCCGGGGCAGCCUAUAAAUUUUGCGGACAUAUUGGACGUUUAACAAGGGCCUUGUCUCCACGUGGGCCCCCCGUUCUUCGCCAUCCCUCCGCCUUCCGUCAAACCUUUUGCAUUUCUAUCAUUUAUUUAUAUAGAAUAUGUCAUAUUGCGAAACAGAACGUGCAAACCUGACGUCCAGGGUGAGAAUUUUUAAAAGGGUCGCUAACAAACGUCCACGUGGAGACUCCCUGUAAGUCCAUAAAAGUUAUAGGACCCCCGGACCAGCCAAUAAGGUCCGAUAACUUUGAGCGCGAAAAUUUUGUGAGCUCCUUUUUGAAAUCUACUUGCACCCGGUCUUCUGUACACUUUCAGUCUACAACCCUGACUGCUUGCCGGCCUGCGUCGUUGACCGAACCGAAAAUGUCGCAGAACCAGUCGCCCUCGCCGAUUCCUUCUGGCAAUAU
rnacentral:lncRNA from 1 species